AAGGCCUCAAUUUUCUUUUAGAUCUUCGCUUGCACUUGUUCGAAGGUGUUUAGUGUUGUUUAAUUGAAGCCGAAAUGUGUGUUCCCCUCGCUAUCCGUUGUUGCAAUUUGAUGCUGCAAUUGGACGUCGGGGAACAAAAUCC
rnacentral:snoRNA from 1 species